CCUACGGGCGGCUGCAGUGGGGAAUAUUGGACAAUGGGCGAAAGCCUGAUCCAGCCAUGCCGCGUGUGUGAAGAAGGUCUUCGGGUUGUAAAGCACUUUCAGUGGGGAAGAAAGCCUUGGGGCUAAUACCCUCGAGGAAGGACAUCACCCACAGAAGAAGCACCGGCUAACUCCGUGCCAGCAGCCGCGGUAAUACGGAGGGUGCGAGCGUUAAUCGGAAUUACUGGGCGUAAAGCGCGCGUAGGCGGUCUGAUAAGCCGGUUGUGAAAGCCCCGGGCUCAACCCGGGAACGGCAUCCGGAACUGUCAGGCUAGAGUGCAGGAGAGGAAGGUAGAAUUCCCGGUGUAGCGGUGAAAUGCGUAGAGAUCGGGAGGAAUACCAGUGGCGAAGGCGGCCUUCUGGACUGACACUGACGCUGAGGUGCGAAAGCGUGGGUAGCAAACAGGAUUAGAUACCCGAGUAGUC
rnacentral:rRNA from 1 species